ensembl:lncRNA novel transcript, antisense to WIPF1 and CHRNA1
GAGCUGAUCAAGGGAACCUCAACAAACAACCCCAGCCAUGGAGGCGGCGGUGUCUUUGAAGACCCCAUGAGAGCAUCAAACAAGGGAGAGAGUAAAAUGGCGGCAGAGAGCUAGUAAUGUGUCUGCAAUUGGUGGGUUCUUGGUCGCACUGACUUCAAGAAUGAAGCCGCGGACCCUCACGGUAUGACAGCUCCUCUCCCAACAGCUCUACUUUCUACAUCUACUCUCUACCACCACAAAACUUCUUUCAGUUCCAUGAAAGGGCCAUGUUUUUCUGGUCUCUUGGCCUAGGAGCAUGUUGUUCUUCUGCCAGCAACCUUCUUCAACCAUCUCCACAGGAUGACUCCUCUAUUGGAUACUUCCAUGAAAAGUCCAGGCCUGGGUUAUGUACCCUUCCCAAAGUGCACCCCAGACACCCAACAGUUUUUCCAGCCCAGACUCACCACACUGUGUGGUAAUUUCCUGAUCACUCAGUUGUGCUCCCCACAGACUAUAAGCUCUAUGAGGGCAGGGGCCACAGUUUGCUUGUUCACUACUAUAUGCUCAGUACCUGGUAAAUAUUAGUUGACUGAAGAAUGACUAUGUGGUAAUCUAUUCCAUUGGUGGCCUCCAGUGAACCAUGUCUUCUGGUAUUUACAUCUUGUGUGGUCCCCUCCAUUAAAUUUGGGCUUUAACCAACAGAAUGCUGCAGAAGCGACACCCUGCCACUUGUGCUUUUGUGAUCCUAGCCACCAGUAAGAAGCCCUGUGACCUUGCUGAGACCCUGAAGAGACCACAUAGAGAGGCCACUUGAAGGGCAAGGGGUCCUGACUCUACAUGGAGAGAGAAGCCCAGCCAUCCCUGUUUCCCAGCUGAGUCCUGACCAGAUAACUCACUACAAGACUGACCACAGGCAAGAACAGCAGAAGAGCUGCCCAGCUGAGCCCAUCCAAGAGUGCAGAAUUUCAAGCAAGUAAAAUGACUAAUGUUGUAAGCCACUAAAAUUCUAGGGUGGUUCUUACAUAGCAAUAUGUAACUGUGAUAAACUAAAUAAAUGAAUAAAAGGGAAUGAAGAAUUACUUCACAGAAUAA